rnacentral:lncRNA from 1 species
AAAAUCACCAGCGAAGUUCCAGCUACCGAGCUACACAACUAUUCCACUGGUGAGAAAUUGAGAAUCACCACAAUGAGGGGUUCCACAAGGACGAAAAGCAACAAGUGUUAUGCUAGCCUGUGUUGGAUCUUCAUGGAAAUUUGUGACGUCUUGUUCACCGUAAAAAUGUAUCCUUUAUAAAAUGUUUAAAGGAAAAAAAAGGAACGUUGAAAAAUAUUAUGUUUUCAGCAACUAUGUAACCACACAUUGGUGGGAAAGUAAGAAGAAUUAGUGAUAUGACUGACGUUGAGUGGCAGGGGUGCAGAAAAGUAUAUUCGCA